rnacentral:misc_RNA from 1 species
GAUGAAGAACGUAGCGAAAUGCGAUACUUGGUGUGAAUUGCAGAAUCCCGUGAACCAUCGAGUCUUUGAACGCAAGUUGCGCCUCAAGCCAUUAGGUUGAGGGCACGUCUGCCUGGGCGUCACAUAUCGUUGCCUGAUGCCAGUUUCCUCGUGAUGGGUGACUGUGCAGGGCGAAUGAUGGCUUCCCGUGAGCAUUGUUGCCUCAUGGUUGGUUGAAAAUUGAGUCCUUGGUAGGGAGCGCCGUGAUAGAUGGUGGUUGAGUGACGAACGAGACCCAAUCAUGCGAGACCCCUACCGAAUUUGGCCUUCAUGACCCACAUGCGUCUUUGGAACGCUCAUGACGAGACCUCAGGUCAGGCGGGGCUACCCGCUGAGUUUAAGCAUAUCAAUAAGCGGAGGA